rnacentral:tRNA from 1 species
AUAGGUAAAAUGGCUGAGGCAAGCAUUGAACUGUAAAUUCAAAGACAGAGACUAAAUAUCUCUUUUUACCA